AGGCAGCACUCAGUGGCAGACAAGGGGAGUGAAACUACAAAAUAAGAGCACCAGACAGCAACUUAAACAGCACACACUCGGGGAAAACAGUCAUCAGAGUCUGGAUUAAAAACUUAAUCGCUGUUUUUGCAGGGUCCCUUGCGAAGGGCAGAGAUGGGCAUCGCCACCACCCGCCGACUGGUGCUGAAGAAAUGUACGGGACCGACCUUCAAGUUGUACAGAGCGGUCAAGCGAACAUGUUUAUGUCAACCAGCAAGUUUUCGGAUGGGAAAUUAAGUCAGCUCUUACCGGAGACUUCAGUGGAUUAUGGGACCUCCUGCAGCAGCUGUCAAAAAAGCAGCUGUGUUCUUGGCUU